rnacentral:rRNA from 1 species
AUUGAACGCUGGCGGCAUGCCUUACACAUGCAAGUCGAACGGCAGCACGGGUGCUUGCACCUGGUGGCGAGUGGCGAACGGGUGAGUAAUACAUCGGAACAUGUCCUGUAGUGGGGGAUAGCCCGGCGCAAGCCGGAUUAAUACCGCAUACGAUCUACGGAUGAAAGCGGGGGACCUUCGGGCCUCGCGCUAUCGGGUUGGCCGAUGGCUGAUUAGCUAGUUGGUGGGGUAAAGGCCUACCAAGGCGACGAUCAGUAGCUGGUCUGAGAGGACGACCAGCCACACUGGAACUGAGACACGGCCCAGACUCCUACGGGAGGCAGCAGUGGGGAAUUUUGGACAAUGGGCGAAAGCCUGAUCCAGCAAUGCCGCGUGUAUGAAGAAGGCCUUCGGGUUGUAAAGCACUUUUGUCCGGAAAGAAAUCCUUGGCCCUAAUACGGUCGGGGGAUGACGUUACCGGAAGAAUAAGCACCGGCUAACUACGUG